CUUCCAGAAGAACUUCAAUUUUCUUCUCAUUUCCUCAAAAAUGUCAGUUCUCUCUCCGGCAACCACAUCAAGCUCAGCGCCCCCACCGCCACAAGCAUUUCCAAAGUUCGAUGCCAAAAAUUUUCAGUCUCUCCCUUCUCUUCCUCUCCCCAUUAAUCCCCACCUCUCGUUCGUUCUUCGCUCCAAUCCCAAUGCACGCCUCUGCUGUCUCCACGCUGCGUUAUCCCCCCAGCCGCCUCCAGAGUCCGACCCGCCUCCCGAAAAGGACCUUGUUCGGCCCAAAGGCAUUUUUGCAAGUUUCUCUAGGCUUCAGGACCGUGUUCAGAUCUUCUUAGCUGUUCUUUUCUGGAUGUCUCUCUUCUUCUGGUCUUCUGCAUGGGAUGGAAGGAACAAUGGCAGAGGUAGACCAAACAAAGGAUCUCUAUUUAGAAGAUGACAUAGAUCUCAAAACUAAAACCAAAUCCAAUUGAAAAGUUAAAGCUGCCAACAUUGGAAUGGAUUCAAAAUGAGAGGAAGUUAUCAUAAGAGUAUAGUUUGAGUUGGGAUCACUGUCAGAAGAUUCUAAUGAAUUUUGAAUGUAAGGGUUAGUAGCCUAGAAGCUGGGAAGUGUCUCAUCAUGGGCUGUUAUAUGUUUAAAUCCAUCUUUUGCUUCUUGUAAGGAAGAAAAUUCUCCUC